rnacentral:rRNA from 1 species
AUUGAACGCUGGCGGAAUGCUUUACACAUGCAAGUCGAACGGCAGCACGGACUUCGGUCUGGUGGCGAGUGGCGAACGGGUGAGUAACAUAUCGGAACGUAUCCAAUAAUGGGGGAUAACUAAUCGAAAGGUUGGCUAAUACCGCAUACGCCCUACGGGGGAAAGCUAGGGACCUUCGGGCCUGGCGUUAAUGGAGCGGCCGAUAUCUGAUUAGCUAGUUGGUGGGGUAAAGGCCCACCAAGGCGACGAUCAGUAGCUGGUCUGAGAGGACGUCGCGCCAUACUGGAACUGAGACACGGUCCAGACUCCUACGGGAGGCAGCAGUAGGGAAUUUUGGACAAUGGGCGCAAGCCUGAUCCAGCCAUUCCGCGUGAGUGAAGAAGGCCUUCGGGUUGUAAAGCUCUUUCGCAAGGGAAGAAAACUUAGCCUCUAACAUAGGCUGAGGUUGACGGUACCUUGAUAAGAAGCACCGGCUAACUACGUGCCAGCCGCCGCCGUAA